GUCCGCAAACAUAUCGCCCUGCAGCUCUCCACUGGAGAUAAGCAGGGUUGAGCCUGGUCAGUACCUGGAUGAGAGACCUCCUGGGAAGCUGUGGUUGCUGCUGGAA
rnacentral:rRNA from 1 species